AGAAACCGAAGUCUAGGUGACGGUUCCGAGACAUCGCCGCCAAGCUGGGCACCGGAGAGAUGGCCGAGACGGACCCCAAGACAAUGCAGGACAUCACCUUGGUGGUGGAGACGCUCUUGCAGCAGAUGCAAGACAAGUUUCAGAUUAUGUCGGAUCAGAUCAUCGGAAGGAUCGAUGACAUGAGCAGCCGAAUCGAUGACCUGGAGAAAAAUAUCGCUGACCUCAUGACCCAGGCUGGAGUAGAAGAACUGGACGCUGAGAACAAGAUUCCUACUGCCCAGAAGAGUUGAAGGCACUGCCCUGGACAUUCCUGGGACUUGGGCCCCUGUCUGGCUGGCUACUGGCACUUCAGACUGAGUCCAGAACAUCACUUUCCCAAGCCAAGAGAAAACCAAGUGGCUUUCUUCAACUAACUCCUAUGUGUGGACAGGUUUAUAAAACGUGCAUUCUUAUCACAGCCUGCAUAGCCUAGAGUACCCUAGCCCCAUUCCUCAAACUUGGUAUCCUCACAUCUUGGUCAGUUCUCUUAAUUAUUAAACACUAAAAUGUUGGCGGUUUCCGGAUAAGAUUGUCAGACUUUUUAGUGGUUUUCUGAGGUCCUCUCCCCACUGCUCCUCUGUGGUAGUUGCUGUGUGAUAAAGCGACAGAGUACUCUUUAAUUAGGUGACUGCAGCCCUUCCCCCUGGCAGGAGCCAUGUGUGAAACAUGAAUGUUUAGCUUUCUUUGAGUUUCAGUGCAAAGUGACUGUUGAGCCGCCACUCGAGUGUCAGAAGUUCUUCUCCAAACGGCCGAGAACAUUUCAUAGUUGUCUGUGCCGAAGUGUCUAUCAGAGUUUUGCAUGAGAUUCUAGUAGUGUUGGUAGGACCUGCCAUGCUUUCCGGCGGGAUAUCAGAGCCCAGUGACCCUAUCCUCCCUUCAAGCUACUGACUGAAAGGGAAGAGACCAAAAGACCCGAGUGAGCCCGCCCCCGUCAAGUGGCUGAAAAAUGCCCUUUGACCUGUGGGAGGUGCUGGUUUUUAAGAAAUACUAUUUUACUUGAACUAUUUCUUGUCUAAAUUCUUGCACAGUGAAUUCUAUUAACUAGAGAAGACAGAUUUACAUUCAGAAUUCUGGUGUCUGGAGGCUUGGCCUCAAGGCCACUUUUGAUGACUUAGAAGACAACCUAUGUCACUGUCCCCACAAAGUGAUUUCAUACAAUAAAGAACAAGGUAAUUCAACAUCGGAGAA
rnacentral:lncRNA from 1 species